AACGAACGCUGGCGGCAUGCCUAACACAUGCAAGUCGAACGAGACCUUCGGGUCUAGUGGCGCACGGGUGCGUAACGCGUGGGAACCUGCCCUUAGGUUCGGAAUAACUCCCCGAAAGGGGUGCUAAUACCGGAUAAUGUCUUCGGACCAAAGAUUUAUCGCCUUUGGAUGGGCCCGCGUUGGAUUAGCUAGUUGGUAGGGUAAAAGCCUACCAAGGCGACGAUCCAUAGCUGGUCUGAGAGGAUGAUCAGCCACACUGGGACUGAGACACGGCCCCGACUCCUGCGGGAGGCAGCAGUGGGGAAUAUUGGACAGUGGGCGAAAGCCUGAUCCAGCAAUGCCGCGUGAGUGAUGAAGGCCUUAGGGUUGUAAAGCGCUUUUACCCGGGAUGAUAAUGACAGUACCGGGAGAAUAAGCUCCGGCUAACUCCGU
rnacentral:rRNA from 1 species